rnacentral:rRNA from 1 species
CAGUCGCCGCGGUAAAACGGAGGGUGCAAGCGUUAAUCGGAAUUACUGGGCGUAAAGCGCACGCAGGUGGUUUGUUAAGUCAGAUGUGAAAUCCCCGGGCUCAACCUGGGAACUGCAUUUGAAACUGGCAAGCUAGAGUCUCGUAGAGGGGGGUAGAAUUCCAGGUGUAGCGGUGAAAUGCGUAGAGAUCUGGAGGAAUACCGGUGGCGAAGGCGGCCCCCUGGACGAAGACUGACGCUCAGGUGCGAAAGCGUGGGGAGCAAACAGGAUUAGAUACCCCUGUAGUCCCUGUCUCUUAUAC